ACCCCAGGCCGGCCCGAAGCGCCCUGCCCUCCUCCGGGAGAGCGCAGAGCUCACUCAUUUUUCAGGGCUCGGCUAAUUGACGUUUGGCUGCUGCACGGUUCAAAAGAAAAGGCCGAACUCAAGCCCACUUCCACCGGAAACCAGACGGCCCCUCCGCUGCCGCCCCUCCAGGGCUGGGUCUCUGGGGGCACAGCCAGGGACCACAGUGCAGCUGGCCGCAGGCGGCGCGGAGGCUGCGGUGACUUAGAAUAGAAGGUGUCCUGGAGGCUUCUCCCAAAAAAGGCUCAGCGCGCAGCCUUCUAGUUUCUGUGUGAGGAGACAGGUGACAGCCACAAGAGCAAAGGGCAAUUUCAGGGCUGGAAGACUUCAUUAGUGAUUACCCAAAUGCCACAUCCUUUUACUGAUGCUAGUAAAGAGAGCCCAGAACAUUCUUUUAAUUUAAAAAAAAAAAAAAAAAAAAGGAAAGAUUACUAUUUCUUGACCCCUCCAGUGAGUUGCUUUAACUAUGAAUGAGGGGUUUACCAUCCCGGGUUUACAGCUGUGGAGACCAGGACUUAGAUUACUAGCCCACUAAAAUCACACAGCUAGGAAGUGGUAGAGCUGGAAUUUGAGUCCAGGUCUGUUUAAAUUUAAAGCAGCGUUUUGAAACCUUCGCACUAUUGACAUUUUAGCCUGGAUAAUUCUUUGUUGUGGGGCCUGUCCUGUGCCUUGUGGGAUGUUUGUAGCUUGUGGUGCUAUCCUCCAGAUGGCAUCACCAAAAAUGUGGCCAGAGAUUGCCAAACGUCCCCUGGGGAGCAAUUUGCCCUCUGUUGGAACCACUGUUUUAAAGCAACCCUGUCAUGCUACAUGAGCUGGCAUGCUUAUCUUCGCUAGGUUCAGGAAUUUCAUCUUUUGGGAAAACCAAUUGACUGGCCACGUGGGAUUCUUAAAGUUCAGCCACAUGUGGUUCAUGAGGGUGGUGGCAGGAGAAGAGUUGGCUGCAUCAGACAAGGUUGACCUCUGUGUACCAGCACCCGAAGGUCUGUGGAGCGCUUGAGACAUUUUAAAUUGGGUGUCUGUCUGUCUACAUAUCUUGGGCCUCAUUGGGUUGGAAGUGGUCCUAGUUCCUUCAACUGUGCUUCCCGUUUCUCUCUGCCAAGACUGUCCCACAGAGGUGACUUUUUACUGGCAAUGACUUUUACCUAAGGUACAUCUUGGAAGCGUGUCGGGCCUACAGGGAAGUUAGCGGCAUCAGGGCCUACUGGACUUCAGGCCUGUCCCCAGCACUGUCCUGGACUGAGGCAGGAACACCUGCAAACUGCCUGGAAGGGGCCAUGACCACCAGACACAUGGAUACCACAAGUUGACUGAAACAUCUGAAAGAAAAGGAGCCCCUCCCCUCCCCCUCCCCGACCAGCAAAACCACACAGCAAAAGCCAAGAAAGAGUUUUUUUCUCUCCUUCCAACUUUGUCUUUUAGGAUCCAGCUGCACUUUGCUGGGCACCAUAAAUAACUCUGCAAUUACAUUAAUUGGUUGCAUAUUUGUUGACACUGAAGGAGAAGCUUUAAGGUUGGGGGAAGUGGGUUUCAGCUGCAAUUUUCCACUCCUCCCCUUUGCCAUCCCUCCGUGUCUGACUUCCAACCACCCUGCUUAGUUUUCCAGAAUGGGGGGAAGUGGUGGGCUGAUAGGCCAGUUUCAGAAUAAGCGUUGAUGACCUUCAGACUUAUGUCUCAUCUGUUGGCUGUCCCUGGAUCUGUUGACCCACUGGGUUUGGAAGUCAUGCCCCACUAUGGGGGAACUGGAGCUGGCUUCCUGGCAACACUCGAUGGAGUUUAACUUCCUCUGGAGGCAGGCUGUGGGGUGGGCUUCUGGUCAGGCAUAUUGUUUGGAUCAAAGAACUGGCUAGACCUUUGCCUGAAUCCCCAAACCCAUCUUAGAUUCCUGGCCACCUUAGAGAGUGUCUUGAAUUUCAUUCCUUGGGAAGUAGCAAGAACUUAGUUACCUCAUUCACUCUAUCUCAGUCAAUGGGCAAGACCUGGAGUGUUCAGCUUGAAAACCAGCCCCCUGUUGGCUGGAGGACUUUGCGGAGUGGAAGAUGGCAGGGGGCAGGUAGCAGACUCUGAACCCCAGCUGACAGCUCCAUGUGUGCUGAGGACCAGAGACUCAGGAUUCAUUUUCCCUCUGCCAAAGCUGAGCCUGGAGGAAUUCCUCUGGGUCCUGGCCUGGGGCUGGAGGAGGAAUGAGAGCGCAUGAAACAGGCCUUGGAAGCUGCCCCACCACUGGCCCUGCUGAGUGGGCAGAGCCAACCUUGGGAGGAAGAGCUGUGCCUGCUUUGCUAUCACUAUUCCCUCAGUACCCAACAUGAGCUGGGCACACGGGAAGCUCCCAUCCAAUGUCUGAUGGGGAGAUGGCUGAGGACUCCAGGUUCUAGUGUCCAGGUGCUCUGAGCUCUUAAAAAAGGAAGGAAUUACCUCAAUGUGAAAUCAGAUGGUUCCCUCCCACAUGGUGUGGUGGAAAGAGCAUAGACUUUGAGGCACAUAGACUGCAACUUUAACAUACCGACUUUUCAGAGCAUCAUAAGGACAAAUACUCUCAGUUCAGUAAACACAAGAAAAGUGACUUCCUUUUCCUUUCUCUGUGAAACCAGUGAGGAAAAUAACUUUCAGAAUCGAAGAUUCUGAUUUCCUCAUGGCAAAAUCUGGACAAUACAGUCCUGCAAAUUAGCAAAGGGAGAAGCAGGCUUGAGACCCUGAAAGCCUGAGCAAGUCUGGCUUCCAAGCUGGCGCUCAGGCUUACUGCCUUGUAUUUGCCUCUUGUAUUUGCCUCUGCCUGGUUCUUCUCCCAGAUGGUUGCAUGUCCCUUACUCCUUUAGGUCUCUGCUAGAAUACCACCUCAUCAGAGUGGGCUUCCUUGAGCACCCUAUCCAAAAUAGCAACCUCCCCUCCCAUCUCUAGCUCCCUACCCUGCUUUAGUUUUCCUUAUGGUACAUGUCACCCCCUGACCUAUGACGUACGAGUUGAUUUG